rnacentral:rRNA from 1 species
GACAGAGGGUGCAAACGUUGUUCGGAAUUACUGGGCGUAAAGGGCUCGUAGGCGGCCAACUAAGUCGGAUGUGAAAUCCCCAGGCUUAACCUGGGAACUGCAUCUGUGACUGCAUAGCUAGAGUACGGUAGAGGGGGAUGGAAUUCCGCGUGUAGCAGUGAAAUGCGUAGAUAUGCGGAGGAACACCGAUGGCGAAGGCAAUCCCCUGGACCUGUACCGACGCUCAUGCACGAAAGCGUGGGGAGCAAACAGG